ensembl:lncRNA
GGCACGAGCGAGAACACACCGGCGAGGUUACGCAGUGUGCGAGGAGAUGGCCGACGAACAGCAGCUCCCGCUCUACACGGAGGUGCUUAACCUCCCUCCUGCCAGUUCUGCAUGGUCAUGACCUGUCAUCACGCCCCUUCCACAUCCCACCUCGUCCUAUUGGUCCUGCUCCUUGUCACUCCGCCCCUGGCUGGGACCGCCCCUGCGUGGGUCGAGGGAGGGGCAGAAGGGGGCACCCGGACAGACCUGAGAGAGGACAACCUCGGCCCCUUUCUCUCGCCCCCGCCUCUGACCCUCUCCGGCCCUGACAACGGUUCGUUAGACCAGGGCCCGGGUCAAGACGACCAAUCAGAUAAAGGGAUGGACCCUAUGCAGGUGCUCGCUGUGCUGUUGGAGGCUCUGGACCACCCAGAGGAGGGAAAAAUCUAUGCCAGUAGAGACAGAGUUUUGGAAGAGGAUGAGAGUCAGAAACUGCCCUCCAUUGAAGGCGUCGCGGGUGGUGAGAAAAGAAGAACGGGGGAGACAGAGGGACAGAGGGGGGUGGAGGAAGAGGGGCGAGGGGCUGAUAAGGCAAUUGAACAGCUAAUUGUAGGCCAUUUGACAGCUGCUCAGGGGGAUGGCUCAAAAGAAAGGGAUGAGGAAGAUAAGACCACAAGGUCAGAGGAGAAUCAAGGGUGGUCUGGGAGGGAUGUGCGAGGCGAUAGCGUGAACAAGGAGGAGGAGGAGGAAGAUGAGGAGCAGAAGGACGGUCAUAGUUUGGAAAGUUUCCUAAAGAACGCCAGGCCAAGGACCCCCUCACUGGGAGAUGAUCCAUCUCUGCGGCGCAAAAUAAGAGGCUACUUCCAAAACAUUGACUUGGGUCUCCAAGAUAAUGAGAUCCUGCCUCCUCUGAAGGGCUACAAGGCAUACAACACUCAGCUCGCGCGAGCCGGAAAGAAGCUGCACUGGGAGGGGAACCAGGACCGCAACCGACCCUCCGACGGCGGCGGCGGCGCCGGCAACUUCAUGGAUGAGUUUGAGGAUGAAGGAGAGGAGCUGCAGGAGGAGAUUGAGGAAGAAGAGGAGAGCCUCUCCCACAUGCAAGAAGAGGCGAGAGCGCGAGCAGAGAAACAGGAGGUUCUUCGCCAGCAGGAGGAGGCGGAGCGUGCCAGAGAGGAGGAGCAGAGGCUGGCAGACAUCGCCUCCGACAUGCUGCUGCAGUACAUGGGGAGGAAGCAGCAGUCCUACAUGAAACCCCGGCAGAAAAGCAGCCUGGGCCCCGCCAGCAACACCGCCGAGGACAAGCGCUCCGAGGAGGUCGUCGCCGACGAAGACGACGUCGACCAGCAGAUGAUCGACAGGCUGAUCGAGAUCAGCAGCAAGCUGCACCUGCCCGCCGAUGACGUGAUCGAGAUUAUCAACGACGUGGAGGAGAAGAAGAAGAAAAGGAAAGAGCUGCAACAAUUACCGAUCAACAGCAACCCUGUUGCCCCGCGCUUCAGGCCUCUGGUACCUCCUCCUCUGGCUGCUCCACCCAUGUACCACUACACCGCCUCGAAAAACCCCAAGAAAGCCCCUUAUAGGUACAACAAGUCCAACAAGAAAUGGCACAAGGACAAGGUCUUGUCCUAUAAGAAGGACUAUUGGUAUAAGCCUCAGAAGCAGCUUGACUACUGGUAUAAACCCCAGAAACAGUUUUUAGCCUUCCCCUCCUACCCAUACUACCAGAAGCCAUAUCGAGCAUACUACCCGGUUUAUUUCCCAUAUCCCAAAGCACAAUAUUAUGGCAAACCCUCUCCCUCCAUAGAACAGCCGUUCGGCCCCCAGGAACUCGACUUCCAGCCCCCGAGGCGCAGGCACAGGGCCGGGGGUAAGAACCGCGGACAGGGCUGGAGGCAGCAGCCGGCGCCUCGCCUGCCGCUCAGCCCUUAUAUCUCUAACUACAUCCUUCCCCACCCACGGACCUACCAACCCCUGCCCCCGCCCAAACCAAUAACCCCACCCAGGAGAGGGAGGCGACCCCCGUACUACUAUCAACAAGUCACGCCGGGAGAUGACUACGAGGAAGAUGGUCUGGUGCCUCAGUUGGACAGUGAGGAGGAGCUGGAAAACUUUAUUGAGAGGAUCUACAUGAAACGUAGAAUGUAUUGAGAGACUUUUUGGACAUUCGUCGGAUCAGACGGGCUGGCCAGAGGUGGGAUAGAUAUUCAGUAGCUGGAGAAAAGCUAAAAGAGAAUGUGGGUCGGGGGUAAGAUUCAGGGGGCGACGGGUUUUGAGCCUGAAUGAAAUUGAAGGGUCUUGGUGUGAAAUGUUUGAUUUAUGUUGUUUUACUCAUUUUAUUUUUACUUUCUCGGUCAGGGGGAGGAUGAACGGUCCCAGUUGAAUCUCCCUGUAACCACAUUAGCCUCUUGCUCAGUUUACAUUUUGAAACAGAACAUACCAUGGUGUAUGUCCGCCUCCAUUCAGGUCAAUCUCUGAAUCUCUUACAUUGUUCAGAGGGAACACACACACACACACACACACCAACUUAUAAGCACAUUUUUGACACUUUCACAAGCAAAUGGGCCCAUUUUCAAAGAACCAUGUUUACAAUAUCACUUGUUUUAUAUUCUGUAUGUCUUAUUACAAAACUAAAGUAAUUCUCAAAUAUAAAAAUAACAACACUGCCAUUGUCAAUUCUUCAAUGAAAGUAUUUUUUUUGUUGUUAUUUGAUGUUUGUAGUUUCCUGUCCUAUUGUCGAUUGGAUCAACUUGUAACAAUUUGCAAACGUGCCAAACAACCACAUAUAGACAUUUCAGUUUUUCAAAAAAUUCAGAUUUUUUUCCUUUCAAGCUCAUGGUUUUAAAAGGGUUUUCCCUCUGCAUAAUAUUAUCAUCACAACCGAUCCUAAAAGAGAAACCCUGUGGAAUCCAAAAGCACAAACUGAAAACACUAAACACUUCCAACCUGGUGGUCAAAGAAUGUUUAUCAUUCUCUCGAUAUUUGUGGAUCCACCAGUUCACCUUUGACUUCUGGGACUCCUUGAACUUUUAGGAGUCAUUUUUAUCUUCCUCACCUUCCCCAAUUGUUCAUCUCCAAUUACUGAUAAAGUGACAUCCUCACUCACUUUUUUUAGGGUUUUUUCACAUAUUGUUCUUUUUGCCAUAUUUCUUGAAUCCUGUAUUUAUUUUGUUUUUUUUCCUUUGCUUCCCAGCAAAAAAAGGAUACUUGAAAUCACAAUCUAUUUAGCGGCUUUUUAAACCGAAAGCCGACAAGAGGCUACACACGUUUUUUUUCUCAGAAGAAUUUCAUUGAAAAGUUUCAGGCCCGGGGAGUCAGGGAUUGUGCUUAAAACCGUUAAAUGCACGUCUUUCUACUUGCAUCUUAAAAAAUGAACAAAAAAAAAUAAACAAAAAAAGAGAAAAAAUAAAACAGUAAAGGAAAAAUCCAGAUGGUUGUUUUCUCUGAAUAAACUGUGAACAUUAAAAAAAAGAAAUCUCAAAAGGAGGAAGGCCACUGUGUCCACAGUGAAGCCAUCUGUCUUGUAAAAGGAGAGUGUUGUUGUUGAUGUCACCUUUAGCAUUGUAACAUGUACAGUGUGAAAUAAAUAUGCCCGUGCAAUGUGUAAAUAACAGCAUGAUGAUUACUAGUUUUGCUAUAUGAAAAAAAAUAAAGGUAAUUAUUUUAUUAAA